rnacentral:rRNA from 1 species
UCCCUGACCCUUUAAGGGUCCUGAAGGAACGUUGAAGACGACGACGUUGAUAGGCCGGGUGUGUAAGCGCAGCGAUGCGUUGAGCUAACCGGUACUAAUGAACCGUGAGGCUUAACCUUACAACGCCGAAG